GUCGAACAUGUUCUCCAUGUCGAUGAAGUUUGUCUGGAUCAUCCUGCAAAAACAGUGCUGGCUGGGGCUCCUCUGAGGAGCUGGGGAAAGAACUGUGCAUCCUCAACAGUGACCACAAUGGUCAGGACUGCGAGGGACAGGAGGAGGAGGGAGAAGCGAUCAAGACAUCACCCCAAACCAGAGACCACAAGAGGAUGUCUGCUAUCUGCCACAUACACGUGAACCCUGUACUACAGGCCAGGGACCCAGAUUCCCAAAGGGAAAGAGCACUAAGCUCCCUGAGGGAAGGGGCUGUGACAGAGACACCUUUGCAGCCUAUGCAAAGCCUUGCGUGUGAAAAUGCUUCAUUGGUGGCCAAGUGAAGCCAAGCUGCAUCUGGUUACACAAAUGAGGUUUCUCCUUGCCCUGUACCCACAGCAAGCCCCUAAUGUGACCAGGAUGCCCUUCCCUGGCCCUCCAUCCAGGCUGAGCUAAGGUUCCCCUGGCAGAGGAGGAGGCCAACCCAUCAUGUUGGGGAGCAGCAGGAGCUUAUUCAAGUCCACUGAUCUACAACCUCCCCGUGGUGGGCCACCUGAGUGGGGGCAGGACUCAUGCCCAAGGGAGUCCCUGGCAUAGUUCCGGGAGACGCCUUCACCAAGCAGCACUCACUGAGGUAAAGACUCAUGCACAGGAACACAAUGAGGCCAAACCAGGCGUUGAAGAACAUGCUGAAGUAGAUGAUGCCAAUGGUGAUGUCAGCCAGGGUGGGGAGGACGUUGAACACCAGGUAGCUAGGAGGGCAAGUCAAGUGACAAAGAAAGGUUUAGGGGCUUAGAGCCAGCAACUCUGCCUCCAGGAAUUUCAGCGUGGUGUUUUCUUUUUCUUUUUUCUUUUAAACGUUUAUUUAUCUUCAAGACAGAGAGAGAGAGUGCACGCACGCACAUUCGUGCAUGAGUCGGGAUGGGGCAGAGGGAGAGGGAGACAGAGAAUUCAAAGCAGGCUUCGCACUAUCAGUGCAAAGUCCGACGUGGGGCUCAAACUCACGAACCGAGUUAUCAUGACCCGAGCGAAGUCAGAUGCUCAGCCAACCGAGCCACCCAGGCACCCUAGUGUUUUCUUUUUCAAUAGCAACAGACCAGAAUCAAGCUAACUAACCCUCAAGAGGUGGGUGGCUAAGUAAACUGUACCUGCCCCAAGCACAGAAUGCCAUGUCAAUUAGAAUGAAUGAGAGGGAGCUUCAUGCAUAGUAAGAAUAUAUCUCUCUAAUGUCUUAUUAAUAAAGCAACUCUAAGAAUGA